ACUCCGACCGCGCCACAUUGUUCGUUUUCAAAAUGGCUGAUCCAUCGACAUGGGGAGAAGAAGGACGAGGAGAUGGAAGAGAUGGCUACGGCUAUGCCCGACCACACAGUGAUAAUUACUAUAGUAGUGCUGGUGGUACUGGUGGAGGUAAUGACUGGAAUCGUCAAAAUCGCCGUGGUUACCGCGAUGAUAGAGGAUAUGGUGGGGGUGGUUCAGGUUAUGGUGGAGGUAGAUCCAGCAAGAUUCCAGAGGAACCCCCAUUCACUGCAUUUGUAGGUGGACUACCGGAUGGCACUGUACAAGGGGAUAUUGAUAGAAUAUUUGCUAAUCUAAGUAUUCGUAGUGUUAGACUUGUUCGUGAUAGAGACACGGACAAAUUUAAAGGUUUUUGUUAUGUGGAAUUUGAAGACAAGAAGUCGCUUGUUGAGGCUCUAGAAUACAAUGAUGCUGAAUAUGGCAACAGAAAUCUAAGGGUAGAUGUUGCUGAGGGAAGAAACAAAGAUAGAGGAGAUAGAGGACGAGGCAGAGGAGGUUUUCGUGGAGGAAGAGGUGGAGAUAGAGGAAGACCUCAGGUAGACAGAGGACAAAACAACUAUCGUGAUCAAGGUCGCAGUGGUUAUCAGGAUAGAGGCCGCCAUGAUGGUGGACGAGGAGGGAGGUAUGGAGGUAGAAGGGAUAAUAGAGGGCCACCGAUGCAAUAUGACAACUUUCCAGAGCCAAGUGAAGAAAGUGCCAGCGAACGACCAAGGUUAAAAUUACUGCCUCGGACAGUCAAAGAUCCCGUCAACGAUAUUGCAAAUUCUAUGCAACAGGCCAAAAUAUUUGGCGGAGCAAAGCCUCGCGACGAGAAACAAUAUGAGCAGAAACAAGCUGAAGUGGAAAGAAAACGUAAAGAGAGCGAAAACAGCGACAAGUAGUGAGCUUGGUAAUGUUUACAAAACAUACGUUAAGGUUUUAUGUAAAAUUAUAAUUCGAACAAGGAUUGCUAAUGGACAUAUAGACAUAGACGAUAGGACUUCAACGAUGGGUGGUUACAUAUCGUUUUUUCAAACCUAGAUAACCUUCAAAAACAAAGCAAUAACAAUGUAUUUCCUUUACGAAUGUUUUAUAAAGAUCAUCCCUGCGACAGCUAGGAGAAAAAACCACACUGAAUGAGAUAAUUGAGAAGAAAAAGAGCAAAAAGCUCAAUGUAUUGCUGAUUAAGUAUAAAGUGAAGAAUAAACGACCACAACUAACGUGGUUCAAUUACGAACAGUUUUAUUAUCUGAUCAACUGAUCAAUAAAGAACUUUCAAUUGGUGGUUAUAUUUUAAACCUCUACAGACGGGUCCAUCUAAGAAAUUAUUACAUCUUUUCUGCCUGUUUUGUUGACAGGUUUAGCGAUGUAAUUAUUUUGGGAUCCAUGAAGAAAAGUAUGUGCUUUUUUACCAUUUCCAAAAAGUUCAACGUUAAUUUACUCAUUUCAUACUUUUUUGGUGUUUGUGUACAAUCAAUAUUUUAACAAAUUAAAUUUUCCUUAACUCUA